rnacentral:rRNA from 1 species
GAUGAACGCUGGCGGCGUGCUUAACACAUGCAAGUCGAACGGAAAGGCCCUGCUUGCAGGGUACUCGAGUGGCGAACGGGUGAGUAACACGUGGGUGAUCUGCCCUGUACUUUGGGAUAAGCCUGGGAAACUGGGUCUAAUACCGAAUAUGACAAUUGUUUGGAUGCGAUUGUGGAAAGCUUUUGCGGUAUGGGAUGAGCUCGCGGCCUAUCAGCUUGUUGGUGGGGUAAUGGCCUACCAAGGCGUCGACGGGUAGCCGGCCUGAGAGGGUGUACGGCCACAUUGGGACUGAGAUACGGCCCAGACUCCUACGGGAGGCAGCAGUGGGGAAUAUUGCACAAUGGGCGCAAGCCUGAUGCAGCGACGCCGCGUGGGGGAUGACGGCCUUCGUGUUGUAAACUCCUUUCGCAACCGACGAAGCCUUUUGGUGACGGUAGGUUGAGAAGAAGCACCGGCUAACUACGUG